CGCGCGGCUUUGAUAAAUCGUUCAAGGCCGCUUGAAUGUGAAUUUGUUAGGAAGAUUCGUUCCAUGCACCAACCAAAUAUUUAGAGUAAGCUGCAUGCCAAGAGAUGGUCUCCUACACCAGACACAUCGAGAACCGAGCUUGGAUUACAAGUUACAGCUCGUCUGAAGAUUAAGGCGGACACGGUACCUGAAAUUACCCAGAAUCCUGACCUUUCUGCUGUGUGAUUGCCACUUCCUCUCUGGUUAUCUUCUAUAGACACAUGUGCAGUCGUUAACGGCCGAUUUGCAUCCUGCGUCAACUGGAGGCAACUCAAUUCUGCAGCAGUUUCAUGUGGUGAUGUUUUCUUGUGAAAAAAGUUAGCAUCUCUACCAGAAGUAUUUUCAGACAGUUACUGUCAAAACAUGGGGUUCUAGACUGGAUGUUGCACAAAAGCUGUGGAUUCUUGAUUGUCUUCCAUUUUCCUUGGUGUUGAAGUCUUGUUUUGAGCUUAAUUGCUGAUUGUAAAUGGGAUCUUUGACUUUCUCUAUAUGCUCUGCAUUUUCAAUCAUAGUAUUAUCUGUUUGUUUGGGUAGAAUUGAUGCGUGUAACAUUUUGCAAAAGUGUCCUCAUGAACAAUCUCAAUAAAUUCAGAUCUUGGAUUUGAUACGUCUCUGUCCAGAUCUGACAAACUUUUCAUGUGAAGUCUCAUUAGGUAAACCCUGAACACCCAUUCAAAUAAAGGAUGUUUGGGGAGUCGAUCUUAUGAGAGCUUUCUAAAAUGACUGGGGGCACGUGUGGCCCAGUCGUCUAAGGCGCCGCGAUUCGCUGUGCAGAGUUGCGUCCCUUGGGCACGCCAGAAACC